ACCAUUUCUCACUCGUAUUCUAAUGUAAAGAAUGCGUAUCGACUUUCAAUUCCAUUGUCUUUAUUGCUUAGCAAGUCGAUAACUGGAUUGGUUCUGAGGUUUAGAUUGCAAGCCUUUGACAUAAUAGGAAACAACCUGGAUUUGAAUUAUGUAAACUAUAUAUAGGGUUAUUUCCCAUACAUGAGCCUUUGGAAUGUUAUUUGGCACUAGGCAUGUUAUUUAUGAACAAAUCAUUGACCAGCUGCUUAACACAAACUUUAGCUUCUGGAUUUGUGAAUUAAAGCAUAUUCAACUCCGUUAAUCUUGAUGCAUUUCCUUAUGUUCUGGACUGGUCCACAGAUAUAGUUGAAUUGCUUGAAUUGUUCGAAGUAAUGAAAAAUGUUCAGGGUUGCAUGAGUAGAAGUAUUUGCAGACUAACAAUGUUCUAGUUGAUUUGAAU